UUCGGAUCGUUGUGACGUGGGUGGUCCACUGCGCAUGACACAGCGAGAAGUCCAUUGAACCUUAUCAUUUAGAGGAAGGAGAAGUCGUAACAAGGUUUCCGUAGGUGAACCUGCGGAAGGAUCAUUGUCGAGAUGCUCAAAUGAUCGGUCGACCCUGCAAAAACAUGCGGGCCAUUCGGCAGAUUGUGUGCCUAUGCCGUCUGCCGGGCAUGGCCAUUCAAGGGAUUCAUGCAAGCGAAGGUGGGUGUUGCGGGCACCAAGGUACGCGUGACCUCAUCGGCAGGAUUGCCGCUGCCCGGCGAGUCUCUGAUAUGGGGGGCUUCUCGUGGCAUUUGUUUUUACAUUUAUAACUCUCGACAACGGAUAUCUUGGCUCUCGCAUCGAUGAAGAACGCAGCGAAAUGCGAUAUGUCGUGUGAAUUGCAGAAUCCCGUGAACCAUUGAGUAUUUGAACGCAAGUUGCGCUCGAGGCUGUUAGCCGAGGGCGUGCCUGCCUGGGCGUCUUUCGAUCCUUCGCUCUGCCCUUUAGAAGGCAUGCUCGGAAUUGUGGGCACGAGGUCUUUCCUGCAGAAGCGCUUGGUGGCCCCUCAUGCCCGAGGCAUGUUGGGUUAAAGAGCGGGCUUUGGUCGGCGAGCUCUUGGCAAUUUGUGGCGGUGCAUCGGUCUAUAGUGGUUGGUGUUCGGAUGGACAUGCCAACGCAGCUGAGAGACACGUGGUCCCGACAAACCCGUCGUUUGAUUGGCCAUUUCGAAGGCUGGCAGCUCGAGGCGACCUCAGGUCAGGUGCGGCCACCCGCUGAGUUUAAGCAUAUUAAUAAGCGGAGGAGAAGGAACUUACGAGAUCCCCU
rnacentral:rRNA from 1 species